rnacentral:lncRNA from 1 species
UUUCUUUCUUUCUUUCUUUCUUUCUUUCUUUCUUUCUUUCUUUCUUUCUUUCUUUCUUUCUUUCUUUCUUUCUUCCUUCCUUCUUUCUUUCUUUUUUUUUUUUUAAAUAGAAGCAGGAAAUGCUGAUUAGCAGCUUAAUAUUUUUGUCUUUCUAAAAAUAAUGCGGAAGCAAGGGCUAAUCAUUGUUAUCUUAAAAAGUUAGUGGCUUCUCUUUUCUUAUUGUUUUAUACCAGUCUUUAAUUACUUUUUUAAGUCAUUGAGCAAUAUAACGCGUUUCUUAAUGUCAUUUUUGUACAUAUCCAGUGUUAAUCUUUGUUCUCACUUCUCUCCCUCCUCGCUGCCUUCCCUGCUCCCCUUUCUUCUGCCUUCCUCCUGAGCCCUCCUCUCCUCCUUUCAGCUUUACGUUACUUGUAUCUUUGACCUUUCUUACUCUUCACUCCUGCUUUCAUGUUCUACACACACACACACACACACACACACACACACACACAAUUUUGCACCCGAGAGAAAACAUAUCUUACUUUCUGCACCUGGCUUUUGUUGCUUAACACCAUGAUCUCAGUUCUUCAUGGCUGAGUAAAGUUCUAUUGUGUAUGUGUAUCAUUACAUAUGUGAGUCAUCUGUCCAUGGACAUCUAGGCUGGCUCUGGAUGUUGGUUAUUGUGAAUGUUGUAGCAAUAUCAUGGAUGUGCAAUAAUCUGUCCAGUGCUGAUUUAAGGUUCUUUUGGCAUACAUAUUUCCAGGAGUAUGCAGUUACCUGGAUCAUAUGGUCAUUAUGUUUGUAAUUCUUUUGAGAACCCUCUACACUGACUUCCACAGAGGUGUAUUAGUUUGCUGAUCCUUACUAAUAAUAUAUGUUCCUCCCAAGCAUCUGUUGUCCUCUGUCCUCUUGGGAAUAGCCAUUCUACUUGAGGUGAGAUGGAAUCUCAAGGCAGUUUUCAUUUGAAAGUGGCAAGGCAGGUUGACUACCUGGACAGAGCAAGAGCCAUCAGAAUUUAAAAUGGUCACCACGUCCACACUGCCAUACUUCCUGCCAGGAUGAUUUAUGGACUGAACCUCUGAACUUGUGAAUCAGCCCCAAUUAAACGUCGUCCCUUAUAAGAGUUGCCUUGGUCAUGGUAUCUCUUCAGCCAACUUUCCUGAUGCUGUGACACUUUAAUAUGGUUCCUCAUGUUGUGAUGAUGCCAACUAUAAAAUUAUUUCAUUGCUGCUUCAUAACUGUAAUUUUGCUGCGGUUAUGAAACGCAAUGCAAAUACCUGAUAUGCAACCCCAGAGGGGUCUCGAUCCACAUGUUGAGAACCACUGUUCUAAUGUUUAUGGCCUACGUGAUAACCCACAGUAAACUGAGAAUAAGGAGGGAGCUCCUUUGUGCUUAUAGAGUGAAUUAGUAGCAAGCUGAAGAGCACAGUAGGUGGAAGUUACUCUGCUGCCAGCAUUUGAAGGUGUUCUUGUAAAUCUCAGCUCUUUCGUGGGCAGCUCAGCCCUACCUUGGGACCCUGAAAGAUUUACUUUAAAAAAAUAACUUGACAAACUGCUUUUCCUAGAAAGGGCAGGAUUCAGCUGCAGUAAGCAAUGUGGGCUAGAUAUCUGGAAAUUCUCUUUGCUUGUUCCUUUUAAAUGGCUAGUGAAGGUUUAUCAUCAAAUUUUUAGGUAUAUAAAAUAUAGGCAAGUGUAAUUCUCAUUUAAUGAAAAUAAAAUCAGGAUCAUAAUCAACAUUAAGUAAAUGUAAGGUGCUUUCUGUCUCUCUGCCUCUGUCACUCUCUGUCUCUGACCUCUCCCUCCCACCCUUUCCCCCUACCCCCACCCCGUGUGUGUGUGUAUGGGUGUGUGUGUAUGUGUGUGUGUGUGUGUGUGUGUGUGUGUGUGUGCUUGGUAUAUUUGGGAAGACCAUCUAAAGCAGGGACAAGGACGUGUUAAGGACAAGCAAGCCAUUUUAUGUCCAGCUUUUGUAUCCUGUUGUAUUAAAAUCUCAACAUUGUCAGAUCUUCGAACUGUCAGGGAAGUCAAAUCCUGAUUCGUAUAGGUCUUUACAUUUGUUGACAUAUUUUUGUCCCCUUAUUAACUUAGUGAAUAGCAGCAAAGAAGUUAAAAGGCAGAACUGGGCAGAACAUGGGAUAACUUUUAAUCUUAGUUAUCGUCAGAGUUUAUAAUUAAAAGUGUGACACAAAGUACUGACUGGACUUUGUGGGUUAUCAAAAAAGGGGGGAUUUGGCUGGGGAGAUGGAGGUAUAGAAAUGAUCGUAUUUCAUUGAAUUUAUAAAGUAAUAGUGUUAGAAAGGGUAGCUUGAUAAAAAGGACUAGAGAAAAGCUUCUAAGUAAUGAUGGAAAAUUCCUUCAGGUUUUUGUAUAUCGUAGAUGCUUAACCUCUUUCUAGAAACGUUGAU